CAGCUCGGUUGGUUAGAGCGUGGAGCUGAUCACGGCAAGGUUACGGGUUUGAUCCCCGUAUGG
rnacentral:tRNA from 1 species